rnacentral:rRNA from 1 species
UACGUAGGGUCCGAGCGUUGUCCGGAAUCAUUGGGCGUAAAGCGCGUGUAGGCGGCCCGGUAAGUCCGCUGUGAAAGUCGGGGGCUCAACCCUCGGAAGCCGGUGGAUACUGUCGGGCUGGAGUACGGAAGAGGCGAGUGGAAUUCCUGGUGUAGCGGUGAAAUGCGCAGAUAUCAGGAGGAACACCUAUUGCGAAGGCAGCUCGCUGGGAAGUUACUGACGCUGAGACGCGAAAGCGUGGGGAGCAAACAGG